rnacentral:rRNA from 1 species
GUGGGGAAUCUUCCGCAAUGGACGAAAGUCUGACGGAGCGACGCCGCGUGAGUGAAGAAGGCCUUCGGGUCGUAAAGCUCUGUCAUCAGGGACGAACGGCCGGUGGAGUGGAAAGCCACCGGAUUGACGGUACCUGAGAAGGAAGUCACGGCUAACUACGUGCCAGCAGCCGCGGUAAUACGUAGGUGGCAAGCGUGGUCCGGAAUUAUUGGGCGUAAAGCGCGCGCAGGUGGGAUCUUAAGUCCAUUUUUAAAGUUCGGAGCUCAACUCCGUGAUGGGAUGGAAACUGGGAUUCUUGAGUACCGGAGAGGAAAGCGGAAUUCCCCGUGUAGCGGUGAAAUGCGUAGAUAUGGGGAGGAACACCAGUGGCGAAGGCGACUUUCUGGACGGUGUCUGACACUGAGGCGCGAAAGCCAGGGGAGCGAACGGGAUUAGAAACCCGUGUAGUCC